rnacentral:rRNA from 1 species
AUUGAACGCUGGCGGCAUGCCUUACACAUGCAAGUCGAACGGUAACGCGGGGCAACCUGGCGACGAGUGGCGAACGGGUGAGUAAUGCAUCGGAACGUGCCCAGUAGUGGGGGAUAGCCCGGCGAAAGCCGGAUUAAUACCGCAUACGACCUACGGGUGAAAGCGGGGGACCGUAAGGCCUCGCGCUGUUGGAGCGGCCGAUGUCAGAUUAGGUAGUUGGUGGGGUAAAGGCCUACCAAGCCUUCGAUCUGUAGCUGGUCUGAGAGGACGACCAGCCACACUGGGACUGAGACACGGCCCAGACUCCUACGGGAGGCAGCAGUGGGGAAUUUUGGACAAUGGGCGCAAGCCUGAUCCAGCCAUGCCGCGUGCGGG